rnacentral:rRNA from 1 species
CCUACGGGGGGCUGCAGUCGAGAAUCAUUCACAAUGGGGGAAACCCUGAUGGUGCGACGCCGCGUGGGGGAAUGAAGGUCUUCGGAUUGUAAACCCCUGUCAUGUGGGAGCAAAUUAAAAAGAUAGUACCACAAGAGGAAGAGACGGCUAACUCUGUGCCAGCAGCCGCGGUAAUACAGAGGUCUCAAGCGUUGUUCGGAAUCACUGGGCGGAAAGCGUGCGUAGGCUGUUUCGUAAGUCGUGUGUGAAAGGCGCGGGCUCAACCCGCGGACGGCACAUGAUACUGCGAGACUAGAGUAAUGGAGGGGGAACCGGAAUUCGCGGUGUAGCAGUGAAAUGCGUAGAUAUGGAGAGGAACACUCGUGGCGAAGGCGGGUUCCUGGACAUUAACUGACGCUGAGGCACGAAGGCCAGGGGAGCGAAAGGGAUUAGAUACCCUAGUAGUC